CAAGGAUCGAAACACACAUACUGCACUAAGGGGAGUGUACCCCCAAACACCUGGGACAGUUUUCGAGAUUAAGAGUAAAAGCACACGGCGCAAGAUCCGUUAACAUGGUUCUUUUGAUUUGGGGGUUAAUGACGCAAAGGAAUUGCUGUCCUCUUUUUGGGGGUCACACAGAACAAGGAGGGGGCACGGUAUUCAGUCAGACUCAUGUACCGAAAAUGAGUGGGUUAAGUUACGGCAACCGCGACUACCUUUUAUAUUAAUCCACCCAUGUAAUACGUGAGCCCUCUAAGAAACAUCCCGGUGUCAACCCGAAGGAAGGUGGGGAGACCAUCAAACCCUCAUACGCCCUUAUAACCUGGGCUACCCACAUGCAACAAUUGUCGGUACAAAGGGAAGUAACCCCCCGAGCGAGAACCAAUCCUUUUAAACCGAUUUCACUUCGGAUAGCAGGAUGCAACUCACCUGCAUGAAGUUGGAAAUGCUAGUAAUCCGGGAUCAGCAUGCCGCGGGGAAUACGUUUCCCGGGUUUUGUACCCACCGGCCCGGUCCCGGCAAGAGAAGUUUUCAACCCCGGAAGGUCGGUGGGGAAACCCCCCCAAAGGGGUGCCCGCCCCCUGAAAGGUGGCGCUAUACUCAUAAAGGGGGGGAACUCGUAACCAGGUAAGCCCUAAAAUUGGAUUUCCCCGCGGCCCCCCCUGGCGGCCGGAUCCUGAUUGC
rnacentral:rRNA from 1 species